rnacentral:rRNA from 1 species
GUGGGGAAUCUUCCGCAAUGGACGAAAGUCUGACGGAGCAACGCCGCGUGAGUGAAGAAGGUUUUCGGAUCGUAAAGCUCUUUCGUUAGGGACGAACGUGCUCUUUGUGAAUAAUGAGGAGUAAUGACGGUACCUAAAUAAGAAGCCACGGCUAACUACGUGCCAGCAGCCGCGGUAAUACGUAGGUGGCAAGCGUUGUCCGGAAUUAUUGGGCGUAAAGCGCGCGCAGGCGGGAUAUCAAGUCUGUCUUAAAAGUGCGAGGCUCAACCUCGUGAGGGGACAAAAACUGGUAUUCUUGAGUGUCGGAGAGGAAAGUGGAAUUCCAAGUGUAGCGGUGAAAUGCGUAGAGAUUUGGAAGAACACCAGUGGCGAAGGCGACUUUCUGGACGAUGUCUGACGCUGAGGCGCGAAAGCUAGGGGAGCGAACGGGAUUAGAAACCCUAGUAGUCC